UGAUAGGGAGGGCGGUCAAUGCGGCUGCCUCAUGACUUGUUCCAAAUCCGAUAAUAUCAGAAGUUUUGAUUAUCUUCAAUAGCAUAUAUGAACUAGAUUUUGUUAUCAUUAAACACACAAUAUCACAAAAUUUUCUAGUUAAAAUAUCAAAUUAAGAAUGUUUGUGUGAAAGCUUAAAGAAUUUUUUCAGUAACGUUAAAAAAUAAUUUAUUAUUCUACUUUUAGCCAGUUAAGCGAAAACCUAAUUUUUACCUAUUUUUUUUCUAAUUUAUGUUAAAAUGGAGUAGAACACAUAUACAAUUUUAUUCUAGUUAAAACAAAAGUAAAUACAUUUAUCCUACUUUACUAUCUCUUCCACUUUUACUAUAGGGAUAAUUGGUUGAGUUGUAUAAACUGAUUUAGCUUUAAUAUUUACUUGCAGUUUUUAAAAUCACCGAUCAUGUUUUAUAUUAGUUUUAAAUGUACAAUUAGAAAAAUAAAAAAAUUUGUAAAAUUUUUAUUUUCUAAAGCACAAUUUUUGUAGCUGUAGAAAAUAUAUUUUGAUGUAUCAAUAAAUUUUAAAACUACAUAAUUUACAGCUAAAUCAAAAAUU
rnacentral:lncRNA from 1 species